CACAAGCUUCGGUAAUAAACGAUGCCUG
rnacentral:sRNA from 1 species